AUUGAACGCUGGCGGCAGGCCUAACACAUGCAAGUCGAACGGUAACAGGAAGAAGCUUGCUUCUUUGCUGACGAGUGGCGGACGGGUGAGUAAUGUCUGGGAAACUGCCUGAUGGAGGGGGAUAACUACUGGAAACGGUAGCUAAUACCGCAUAACGUCUCAAGACCAAAGAGGGGGACCUUCGGGCCUCUUGCCAUCGGAUGUGCCCAGAUGGGAUUAGCUUGUAGUUGGGGUAACGGCUCACCUAGGCGACGAUCCCUAGCUGGUCUGAGAGGAUGACCAGCCACACUGGAACUGAGACACGGUCCAGGCUCCUACGGGAGGCAGCAGUGGGGAAUAUUGCACAAUGGGCGCAAGCCUGAUGCAGCCAUGCCGCGUGUAUGAAGAAGGCCUUCGGGUUGUAAAGUACUUUCAGCGGGGAGGAAGGGAGUAAAGUUAAUACCUUUACUCAUUGACGUUACCCGCAGAAGAAGCACCGGCUAACUACGUG
rnacentral:rRNA from 1 species